AUCGUCAAGUCAGCCCGCGCAAACGGGACAGCAGGACCCACCGAGGACCACACCGAUGACUUCCUGGGGUGCCUCAACAUACCUGUCCGGGGGAUACGGCCAUGAGCCAGCGCGGGCGAUCCGGCUUCCUGUCCCACCUGCUGCUGCUCAGCCAUCUGCUGCGGUUGGAGCACUCAGCAGAGGAGCCAACUCCAGCAGCUGGCGAGGAGAGCUCAGCACACCAGCCGCCACCAUCCUCUGCCUGCACGGAGCCCAGAGCAACCUGUCACCCUUGCAGCUGGCCGUGCUCACUGGCAGGUCAGCAGCCGCCACCAUCAAACCUGCACGCUGGACUACAGCUACCUGCUGGGGCUGCUGGAGGACAUGCAGGCACACUGGGAAGAGGCUCCUUCACUGCCCCAGGAGCAGAGGAGAGCCUGGCUGAUAGCCUUUCCGCCUUCUCUGAGUUCGGGCUGCAGCUGCUGCGCCAGCUCCGAGACUACUUCCCUGCCACCAACAGCACCGCUGUCCACCGCCUGGAGCUGCUGCUGAAUGUCUGGGCAAGCUGCAGCUCUUCCAACCCUCCUUUGAGAUCUGCCCCUUCGAGUCGGAGCUGAACAUGGACAUUGCUGCGGCCCUGAAGGAGGCAACCGUGAGUGGUACGACAGGAUCCUGAAUGACAAGAGUCCCCGAGAGCAGCAGGACCACAGCGCCUGCCUGGGCUGGUUGUGCUGGCUGACGCCGUCUAUGAUGACCUUCAGUUCUGCUACAGUGUGUACGCCAGCCUCUUCCACAGGUGGGCCUGG
rnacentral:lncRNA from 1 species